rnacentral:misc_RNA from 1 species
CUUGGCUUCUUUGGUUUCUAAGAUUCCAUCUUGUUCAGAGUGAUGGAUGGUAGUGAGCUCCCCGGCAAUUUUGGUGAGCUGAGAGAUGUAUGUAGGUACUUCUGACACUAAAGGCUCAAGUUAGAUUUUAGCAUAAUUCAUUAGAAGUUGAAGUACAGAUACGCAUCAUCUAAAGCUUAAUAUUUGUUUUUACAUCCUCUUCCCUUUCUCUUGUACACCCAUGGAUUUUUCGAUCUUUAGUUUCCUGAGUUGAGAACUUUUGAAGAUUGAUUAGUUGAGACUUCUGGGUCCUACUGACCUAUGAUGAAGCUUCCUCGAGUUAUUUUAUUAAAACAAUGAAGUAUUAUCAUUAUUAUUUAAUUUGUCUGCUUGCAA